CCGCGGCACCGCCACGGCGCCACUGGCAUAAAGCACUGGGUUUUAUUGGGAGUUUGGAACAGGGCCGCAAACUAAACCCCAGGGUUUUGUUCCUCAACGUUGAUCAAAGAUGAAAGACGGUAUACAGUUCACUAAAGAGCCCUACAUCGAGGAUGUUGGACCUCGCAAAAUAGAGAGCAUUCGGUUCGCGUUGUUUUCCGAAUCCGAAAUUAGCAAAGCUGCAGAAGUUCAAGUGUGGCGUGGCGUUUACUAUGAUGCUAAUAGAAAACCUAUAGAAAACGGGUUAUUGGAUCCUCGCAUGGGACCUGCAAAUAAGAAUGGUACUUGUGCAACAUGCCUUGGGAAUUUUCGGGAUUGUCCGGGGCAUUGUGGGUACUUGACUCUCGCACUCCCUGUUUAUAAUGUUGGAUAUUUGAGUACAAUUGUGGACAUCUUGAAGUGCAUUUGCAAGUCUUGUUCUCGUGUACUUUUGGAUGAGAAAGCAUCUAAAGACUACUUGAAGAAGAUGAGAAGUCAAAAAAUGGAGGCUCUAAAGAAGGCCGAAUUAAUGAAAAAGAUAGUACAAAAAUGUACAGCUAUGGCAAGUAGUAAGAAAGCAGUGAAAUGUUCCAGAUGCGGGUAUAUGAAUGGUAUUGUGAAAAAGGCUGUAUCUGUUUUGGGAAUUAUCCAUGAUCGUUCAAAAAUUGCUGAUGGAAGCUUGGAAGAAUGCAGUUCAGCAAUUUCUCACACCAAAGAGUCCAAGGCAUCAUUCAGUGUUGUUGAUAUUCUUAACCCUGUCAAAGUUCUUUCUCUUUUUAAAAGGAUGAUGGAUGAGGAUUGUGAUUUGCUUAAUCUUGCUGAAAGACCAGAAAAACUUGUUUUAACGAACAUUGGAGUGCCACCCAUCGCUAUUCGUCCUUCAGUUUUUAUGGAUGGUGGAACACAGAGCAAUGAAAAUGAUGUUACUGAGAGGCUAAAGCGGAUUAUUCAAGCAAAUGCUAGCCUUCAUCAAGAGUUACAGGACACAGGCUCCACAUCCAAAUGUCUGGCUGGUUGGGAUUAUCUUCAAAUUGAGGUUGCCCAGUAUAUCAACAGUGAUGUUCGUGGUGUUCCACUAGCUAUGCAAGCUGCCAGGCCAUUGAGUGGUUUCGUUCAGCGCCUCAAAGGGAAGCAGGGGCGUUUUCGUGGGAACUUGUCUGGGAAGCGUGUUGAGUAUACUGGCAGGACUGUUAUAUCGCCUGACCCUAAUCUAAAAAUUACCGAGGUGGCAAUCCCCAUCCUGAUGGCUAAGAUCUUAAGUUAUCCUGAACGUGUUUCUCAUCACAAUAUAGAGAAGCUGAGACAAUGCAUUCUCAAUGGUCCUUUUAAAUACCCUGGUGCGAAGCUUAUCAGAUAUCCUGAUGGUUCUAUGAGGUCUUUGAUGUUUAGUGGCAGAAAGCGCUUUGCUGAUGAACUGAAAUAUGGUUACAUAGUUGAGCGUCACUUGGAAGAUGGCGAUGUUGUUCUUUUUAACAGACAACCAAGUUUGCAUCGGAUGUCAAUCAUGUGCCAUAGGGCGCGGAUAAUGCCUUGGAGAACAUUGAGGUUUAAUGAAUCAGUUUGCAACCCAUAUAAUGCAGAUUUUGAUGGUGAUGAAAUGAAUAUGCAUGUCCCACAGACAGAAGAAGCUCGCACGGAGGCUCUUAUGUUGAUGGGGGUGCAAAAUAACUUAUGUACACCAAAAAAUGGAGAGAUCUUGGUUGCUUCGACCCAAGAUUUUCUAACAUCUUCCUUCCUGAUUACGAGGAAGGACACUUUUUAUGACCGCGCAGCUUUUUCGCUCAUGUGUUCAUAUAUGGGUGAUGGCAUGGAUCUUGUUGAUUUACCAACACCAGCAAUAAUUAAGCCAGUGGAGCUGUGGACUGGUAAACAGUUAUUUAAUGUUCUACUGCGCCCUCAUGCAAAUGUGAGAGUCUAUCUGAAUCUUACUGUCAUGGAGAAAACCUACAACAAGCGUAGAGGAAAAGAAACAAUGUGUCCUAGUGAUGGGUUUGUCUAUUUCCGAAAUAGCGAACUAAUAUCUGGGCAACUUGGGAAGGCUACUUUAGGAAAUGGCAACAAGGACGGUCUUUUCUCUGUUCUUCUUAGGGACUAUAAUGCACAUGCUGCUGCUGCUUGUAUGAAUCGUCUGGCAAAAUUGAGUGCUCGGUGGAUAGGGAAUCAUGGCUUCUCAAUUGGGAUUGAUGAUGUUCAACCAGGAGGGCUUUUGAAUGACCAGAAAAGUAAGAGGAUUGAGGAAGGAUAUGAAAAUUGUCAUGAGCUAAUACAGCAGUACAAUAAAGGGAAGCUGAAACUUCAACCUGGUUGCAAUGCUGCCCAAACUCUUGAAGCCGAAAUAACUGGUGUAUUAAAUAAAAUUCGAGAAACAACUGCGAAUGUUUGCAUGGAAGAACUACAUUGGAGGAAUAGCCCUUUGAUUAUGUCCCAAUGUGGUUCCAAAGGAUCUCCUAUCAAUAUUAGCCAAAUGAUUGCAUGUGUAGGUCAGCAAUCGGUUGGGGGUCGUCGUGCUCCUGAUGGAUUUAUAGAUCGAACCCUUCCUCAUUUCCCUAGAAAGUCUAAAACCCCAGAUGCUAAAGGUUUUGUUGCCAGUUCAUUCUAUACUGGUUUGACAGCUACAGAGUUUUUCUUUCAUACAAUGGGAGGACGAGAAGGUCUUGUUGAUACGGCGGUAAAAACAGCUGACACCGGGUACAUGUCUCGUAGAUUAAUGAAAGCAUUAGAGGACCUGUCCAUUCAGUAUGAUGAAACAGUACGAAAUGCCAAUGGAAGCAUAGUUCAAUUUCUUUAUGGAGAUGAUGGUAUGGAUCCAGCAAGGAUGGAAGGAAAAGACGGCUUUCCUUUGAAUUUUAAUAGAUUGUUUUUGAAAGUGAAGGCUACAUGUCCCGCAGGAGAAAAUGCAAGUUUAUCUGCUUUACAAAUUGAGGAGACUGUGAAAAGGCUCAAAGAACAUAAUACAUCUGCUGAGGGUUGUUCUGAUGCCUUCAAGACCAAUCUAUCAGGUUUCCUUGAAGAAUGUAAAGAAAAAUUUAAAAACACGAGGGAGGCACUUGGAUUACAUGGAGAGCAUGUUGGGGAAGAAAAUUUAGAUAUCCAAGAAAAAUUUGCCAAAAAUAUAUCUGGUAUUACUUCCAAACAGUUGCAGGUUUUUCUGGAUACCUGCAUCUCUCGUUAUCAAUUAAAACGAAUUGAAGCUGGAACUGCAAUUGGUGCAAUUGGAGCUCAUAGUAUUGGAGAGCCUGGGACACAGAUGACAUUAAAAACUUUCCACUUUGCUGGUGUUGCAAGCAUGAAUGUUACACUUGGAGUUCCUCGUAUCAAAGAAAUAAUAAAUGGAGCCAAAAGAAUUAGCACACCCAUCAUCACUGCAGCUCUUGAGUGCAAUAAUAAUGUGAAAACCGCACGAAUGGUUAAAGGUCGCAUUGAGAGAACGACUUUAGGCCAGGUAGCAAAGAGUAUAAAGAUUGUCUUGACUUCAAGACUAGCGUUAAUAGCUGUCGCACUUGACAUGGAAGGAAUUCAGGCUUCACAAUUGUCUAUAGAUUCUAAUAUUGUAAGAGAAUCAAUUUUGCGAAACCGACGAAUCAAACUGAAGCAACAGCAUAUUAAGGUUUUGGAUGCUGGAAAGUUGGAAGUUCAUCCUCAGGGUGAUAGAAGUACAAUUCAUUUUGAACUCCAUGCUCUUAAAAAUUUGCUUCCAACUGUGGUUGUAAAGGGAAUAGAAACUGUUGAACGUGCUGUGAUUAACAAAGAUAACAAAGUAAAGUACAACUUGCUUGUAGAAGGCACAGGUCUCCAAACUGUCAUGGGCACUGAAGGAGUUAUUGGACGUGAAACUACCAGUAAUCAUAUCAUUGAAGUGCAGCAGACACUUGGAAUUGAAGCUGCAAGAAAGUGCAUCAUUAAUGAGAUACAGUAUACCAUGGCAAGCCAUGGGAUGAGCAUAGAUAUACGACAUAUGAUGCUUUUAGCAGAUUUGAUGACAUUUAGAGGUGAAGUUCUAGGAAUCACAAGAUUUGGCAUUCAAAAAAUGGACAAAAGUGUAUUGAUGCUGGCUUCAUUUGAGAAGACAGCAGAUCACCUUUUCAAUGCUUCUGUAAGUGGUAGAGAUGACAAGAUUGAAGGAGUAAGUGAAUGCAUAAUCAUGGGUAUACCCAUGCAACUGGGCACUGGAAUACUUAAAGUUAGACAGAGGCUUCAGCAAGUUCCAGAGCUGAGUUAUGGGUUAGACCCAAUUAUAUCUUAAGUUCAUCAAGUUGAACUUUUUCGAGACUAUGAACCAACAUGUGCAGGUCAUCCCAGUUCAUCACAAUGAGAUGGAUCUGCUUUAGCAGUCAAUGUAGAGAGCAUACUAUAAAGGCUUCGUCUGCCUCUACCAUGAUAUGCUGGAACCAAGUGAUCCAAGGAAGGCACAUUUGCACGGAUGGACGCAUAUCAAGUUGAUAUAGCCAAGCCCCUUCUAUGUGUUGUAGAAAUGAAGAGGUCCCAGAGAGCGAGCUCACUCAUCAUACAAGAUGAAAACAAAGAAUUUUUUUUUUUUUGAAAAAAAAUAAUAAUAAUAACAGAUGUUCUUUGAGGCGGGUGGCUGAGAGUUGGUUUUGCACGCCUUGUAAAGAUGAUAAGCCCGGCCAUUGAAAUUGACACUUACCAUGAAACCAGUUUUGCCAAUACACUUCCCUAUAAAUUGAUUCAAAGUAAAUGUAAUAAUUGUUUGAGGAAAGGAUCAUAGGGAGCAUUCAGCAUUGCAUUUCCUGCUUUCCUGCAAUUACACAUCCAUCAAUUUUACUGGCUAUUUGUGUAACGGGAUUUGGACCCGUGGACUCCUAUUUCAAUUUUUAAUUUAAUUUGGUUUCACCUA